GCUUACGGCCAUACCACCCUGAGAACGCCCGAACUCGUCUUAUUUCGGAAGCUAAGCAGGGUCGGGCCUGGUUAGUACUUAGAUGGGAGACCGCCUGGGAAUACCAGGUGCUGUAAGCU
ensembl:rRNA 5S_rRNA 5S ribosomal RNA